GGGUCAUUAGUUCCAAUUGGCAGAACGGCGGGCUCCAAAUCCGCGCGUUGGAGGUUCGAGUCCUUCAUGGCCCGCCA
rnacentral:tRNA from 1 species